AUACGUAGGUGGCAAGCGUUGUCCGGAUUUAUUGGGCGUAAAGCGAGCGCAGGCGGUUUCUUAAGUCUGAUGUGAAAGCCCCCGGCUCAACCGGGGAGGGUCAUUGGAAACUGUGGUGCUAGAGUGCAGGAGAGGUAAGUGGAAUUCCUAGUGUAGCGGUGAAAUGCGUAGAUAUUAGGAGGAACACCAGUGGCGAAGGCGGCUUACUGGACUGUAACUGACGUUGAGGCUCGAAAGCGUGGGGAGCAAACAGGAUUAGAUACCCUGGUAGUCCACGCCGUAAACGAUGAGUGCUAAGUGUUGGAGGGUUUCCGCCCUUCAGUGCUGCAGCAAACGCAUUAAGCACUCCGCCUGGGGAGUACGACCGCAAGGUUGAA
rnacentral:rRNA from 1 species